rnacentral:rRNA from 1 species
AAUGAACGCUGGCGGCGUGCCUAACACAUGCAAGUCGGAUGUGCCCGCAAGGGUGCAUGGCAGACGGGUGAGUAACGCGUGGGGAAUCUACCUCUUUGUGGGGGAAUAACGCUCCGAAAGGAGUGGUAAUACCGCAUGAGACCAAUGGCUGAAAUGCUGUUGGUGAAACCUGGGGACCGCAAGGCCUGGGGCAAGGAGAGGAUCCUGCGUCUGAUUAGCUAGUUGGCGGGGUAACGGCCCACCAAGGCGACGAUCAGUAGCCGGCCUGAGAGGGUGAUCGGCCACACUGGAACUGAGACACGGUCCAGACUCCUACGGGAGGCAGCAGUGGGGAAUUUUGCGCAAUGGGCGAAAGCCUGACGCAGCAACGCCGCGUGGGUGAUGAAGGUCUUCGGAUCGUAAAACCCUGUCGUCGGGGACGAAGGUAGCUUAGUUAACAGCUGAGUUGCUUGACGGUACCCGGAGAGGAAGCCCCGGCUAACUCUGUGCCAGCAGCCGAC